CCUGGUAGCUCAGACGGUAAAGCGUCUGCCUACAAUGCAGGAGACCCGGGUUCGAUCCCUGGGUCAGGA
rnacentral:tRNA from 1 species